GUGGGGAAUAUUGGACAAUGGGCGCAAGCCUGAUCCAGCCAUGCCGCGUGAGUGAUGAAGGCCUUAGGGUUGUAAAGCUCUUUUGUCCGGGAAGAUAAUGACUGUACCGGAAGAAUAAGCCCCGGCUAACUUCGUGCCAGCAGCCGCGGUAAUACGAAGGGGGCUAGCGUUGUUCGGAAUCACUGGGCGUAAAGCGCACGUAGGCGGACCAUUAAGUCAGGGGUGAAAGCCUGGAGCUCAACUCCAGAACUGCCUUUGAUACUGAUGGGCUCGAGUAUGGAAGAGGUUGGUGGAACUGCGAGUGUAGAGGUGAAAUUCGUAGAUAUUCGCAAGAACACCGGUGGCGAAGGCGGCCAACUGGUCCAUUACUGACGCUGAGGUGCGAAAGCGUGGGGAGCAAACAGGAUUAGAAACCCCUGUAGUCC
rnacentral:rRNA from 1 species